rnacentral:rRNA from 1 species
UGGGGAAUUUUGGACAAUUGGGCGAAAGCCUGAUCCAGCAAUGCCGCGUGUGUGAAGAAGGCCUUCGGGUUGUAAAGCACUUUUGUCCGGAAAGAAAUCCUUGGCUCUAAUACAGUCGGGGGAUGACGGUACCGGAAGAAUAAGCACCGGCUAACUACGUGCCAGCAGCCGCGGUAAUACGUAGGGUGCAAGCGUUAAUCGGAAUUACUGGGCGUAAAGCGUGCGCAGGCGGUUUGCUAAGACCGAUGUGAAAUCCCCGGGCUCAACCUGGGAACUGCAUUGGUGACUGGCAGGCUAGAGUAUGGCAGAGGGGGGUAGAAUUCCACGUGUAGCAGUGAAAUGCGUAGAGAUGUGGAGGAAUACCGAUGGCGAAGGCAGCCCCCUGGGCCAAUACUGACGCUCAUGCACGAAAGCGUGGGGAGCAAACAGGAUUAGAUACCCUGGUAGUCCACGCCCUAAACGAUGUCAACUAGUUGUUGGGGAUUCAUUUCCUUAGUAACGUAGCUAACGCGUGAAGUUGACCGCCUGGGGAGUACGGUCGCAAGAUUAAAACUCAAAGGAAUUGACGGGGUCAUAGCUGUUUCCU